rnacentral:rRNA from 1 species
UACGAAGGGGGCUAGCGUUGUUCGGAAUCACUGGGCGUAAAGCGCACGUAGGCGGCUUCUCAAGUCAGGGGUGAAAUCCUGGAGCUCAACUCCAGAACUGCCUUCGAUACUGGGAGUCUCGAGUUCGGGAGAGGUGAGUGGAACUGCGAGUGUAGAGGUGAAAUUCGUAGAUAUUCGCAAGAACACCAGUGGCGAAGGCGGCUCACUGGCCCGAUACUGACGCUGAGGUGCGAAAGCGUGGGGAGCAAACAGG